GUAAAAUUAGUUUAAUAAAAAUAUCAAGUUGUGGCCUUGAAGACAAGCCAAAGGCUUAUUUAACC
rnacentral:tRNA from 1 species